AGCGAACGCUGGCGGCAGGCCUAACACAUGCAAGUCGAACGAACCUUUCGGGGUUAGUGGCGGACGGGUGAGUAACACGUGGGAACGUGCCUUUAGGUUCGGAAUAACUCAGGGAAACUUGUGCUAAUACCGAAUGUGCCCUUCGGGGGAAAGAUUUAUCGCCUUUAGAGCGGCCCGCGUCUGAUUAGCUAGUUGGUUGAGGUAAUGGCUCACCAAGGCGACGAUCAGUAGCUGGUCUGAGAGGAUGAUCAGCCACAUUGGGACUGAGACACGGCCCAAACUCCUACGGGAGGCAGCAGUGGGGAAUCUUGCGCAAUGGGCGAAAGCCUGACGCAGCCAUGCCGCGUGAAUGAUGAAGGUCUUAGGAUUGUAAAAUUCUUUCACCGGGGACGAUAAUGACGAUACCCGGAGAAGAAGCCCCGGCUAACUUCGUG
rnacentral:rRNA from 1 species